UGGGGAAUCUUGCGCAAUGGACGAAAGUCUGACGCAGCGACGCCGCGUGAGUGAUGAAGGCCUUCGGGUUGUAAAGCUCUGUGGGGAGGGACGAAUAAGCGUAGGUUAAUACCCUAGGUGAUGACGGUACCUUCUUAGCAAGCACCGGCUAACUCUGUGCCAGCAGCCGCGGUAAGACAGAGGGUGCAAACGUUGUUCGGAAUUACUGGGCGUAAAGCGUGUGUAGGCGGCCUCGUAAGUCGGAUGUGAAAGCCCUGGGCUCAACCCAGGAAGUGCAUUCGAAACUGCGAAGCUUGAGUUUCGGAGAGGUUGGUGGAAUUCUCGGUGUAGAGGUGAAAUUCGUAGAUAUCGGGAAGAACACCGGUGGCGAAGGCGGCCAACUGGACGAAAACUGACGCUGAGACACGAAAGCGUGGGGAGCAAACAGG
rnacentral:rRNA from 1 species